CUGAGAGGGUGACCGGCCACAUUGGGACUGAGACACGGCCCAGACUCCUACGGGAGGCAGCAGUGGGGAAUAUUGCACAAUGGGGGAAACCCUGAUGCAGCGACGCCGCGUGAGCGAUGAAGUAUUUCGGUAUGUAAAGCUCUAUCAGCAGGGAAGAAAAUGACGGUACCUGACUAAGAAGCCCCGGCUAACUACGUGCCAGC
rnacentral:rRNA from 1 species